rnacentral:rRNA from 1 species
AACGAACGCUGGCGGCAUGCCUAACACAUGCAAGUCGAACGAGACCUUCGGGUCUAGUGGCGCACGGGUACGUAACACGUGGGAAUCUGCCCUUUGCUUCGGAAUAACAGUUAGAAAUGAAUGCUCAUACCAGAUGAUGUCGAAAGACCAAAGAUUUAUCGGCACAGGAUGAGCGCGCGUAGGAUUCGGUGGUUGGUGGGGUAAAGGCCUACCAAGCCGACGAUCCUUAGCUGGUCUGAGAGGAUGAUCAGCCACACUGGGACUGAGGCACGGCCCAGACUGGGACGGGAGGGAGCAGUGGGGAAUAUUGGAGGAUGGGCGAAAGCCUGAUACAGCAAUGCCGCGUGAGUGAUGAAGGCCUUAGGGUUGUAAAGCUCUUUUACCAGGGAUGAUAAUGACAGUACCUGGAGAAUAAGCGCCGGCUAACUACGUG